AGAAUAGCUUGCUGGUGGCACACGUUUCAAAUAAGCAAACAAUCAUACUAGCAAACAUUACUCGGUGUGGCGUCAGUUUGGCAUGGCAGUGCUGUGACUGAGUCAGAGUUUCGACCCAAUGAUUUGUCUGACAACCAAAGCACUUGGUUGGAUCAAAGCUGGUGGGACAUUCAAUGACAUCAUCAAGAGAUAUGUCAGAGAAGUAUUUUUGGGAUCAUAUCGUUUCUUUCAAGACAAUGACCCAAAACACACUGCCGCCCGGGUUUGCAUUGCAAAUGAGUGCAUGAACUGGGUCAAGACGCCAGCAGAUUCUCCUGAUUUAAACCCGAUCGAACUUGUUUGGCAUGAGCUGAAAACAUGAAUCUGUAACUCUGUCAAACCUACAAGCAAAGAUGAACUGGUGAAGGGCAUCAAGACGUUUUGGCUUGAGAAACUGAUGAUACAACAAUGCAACAAAUACAUUGAUCAUCUCAGAAAGGUUUGACCUGUGGAGCAACUAAA